GAUGAACGCUGGCGGCGUGCCUAAUACAUGCAAGUCGAGCGAACAGACGAGGAGCUUGCUCCUCUGACGUUAGCGGCGGACGGGUGAGUAACACGUGGAUAACCUACCUAUAAGACUGGGAUAACUUCGGGAAACCGGAGCUAAUACCGGAUAAUAUAUUGACCCGCAUGGUUCAAUAGUGAAAGACGGUUUUGCUGUCACUUAUAGAUGGAUCCGCGCCGCAUUAGCUAGUUGGUAAGGUAACGGCUUACCAAGGCAACGAUGCGUAGCCGACCUGAGAGGGUGAUCGGCCACACUGGAACUGAGACACGGUCCAGACUCCUACGGGAGGCAGCAGUAGGGAAUCUUCCGCAAUGGGCGAAAGCCUGACGGAGCAACGCCGCGUGAGUGAUGAAGGUCUUCGGAUCGUAAAACUCUGUUAUUAGGGAAGAACAAAUGUGUAAGUAACUAUGCACGUCUUGACGGUACCUAAUCAGAAAGCCACGGCUAACUACGUG
rnacentral:rRNA from 1 species